rnacentral:rRNA from 1 species
GACGAACGCUGGCGGCGUGCUUAACACAUGCAAGUCGAGCGGAGCGGCGAACGGGUGAGUAACGCGUGAGUAACUGCCCCCCUCUCUGGGAUAACAGUUGGACACGGCUGCUAAUACCGGAUAGUGGGGGAUGGCUCGCGUCCUAUCAGCUUGUGGGUGGGGUAGUGGCCUACCCAGGCGACGACGGGUAGCCCGCCUGCGAGGGCGACAGGCCACAUUGGGCUGGGAUACGGCCCACACUCCGACGGGAGGCAGCAGUGGGGAAUAUGGCACAAUGGGGGAAACCCUGAUGCAGCAACGCGCGUGCGGGAUGACGGCCGUCGGGUUGGAAACCGCUUUCAGCCAUGACGCGGUAGUGGCAGAAGAAGCACCGGCUAACUACGUGCCAGCAGCCGCGGUAAUUC